GAUGAACGCUAGCUACAGGCUUAACACAUGCAAGUCGAGGGGAAACGAUAUUGGAAGCUUGCUUCCGAUAGGCGUCGACCGGCGCACGGGUGAGUAACGCGUAUCCAACCUGCCCAUCACUUGGGGAUAACCUUGCGAAAGUAAGACUAAUACCCAAUGACGUCUCUAGAAGACAUCUGAAGGAGAUUAAAGAUUUAUCGGUGAUGGAUGGGGAUGCGUCUGAUUAGCUUGUUGGCGGGGUAACGGCCCACCAAGGCGACGAUCAGUAGGGGUUCUGAGAGGAAGGUCCCCCACAUUGGAACUGAGACACGGUCCAAACUCCUACGGGAGGCAGCAGUGAGGAAUAUUGGUCAAUGGGCGAGAGCCUGAACCAGCCAAGUAGCGUGAAGGAUGAAGGUCCUACGGAUUGUAAACUUCUUUUAUACGGGAAUAAAGUUUCCUACGUGUAGGAUUUUGUAUGUACCGUAUGAAUAAGCAUCGGCUAACUCCGUGCCAGCAGCCGCGGU
rnacentral:rRNA from 1 species